rnacentral:lncRNA from 1 species
AGUGGCUGUAGGAGUGUAUGACAGAUAGAGCCUCCCUCUGCCUGGAUGACUCUGCCCAUGAGAACCUUCUGGAUCAUACUGGACAGACCGUGUAGAGCUUGAAGGUGAUUCACUGCAACCCAGAGAAAGUUUUGUGUUGUGUUCUGGCUGGCGAAACUUCUGCAAACAACGAAUGCUUCUUUUCAUCAGCCUAUUCUGCGUUGGUUGGUAGGAUGUCAGUCUAUAACCACAUCAAUUUCAGAUGAGGAUGUCAAGACUUGGAGUAGGUGACAGUUGGCCUUGGGCUUCGGUGGCCAACCCAUGACUACAAAAGCCCGAGAAGCCAGCAGCUUCCCCGGCUCCUCCACCAAGUGGCCUCUGGGUGAUGGGGAAGCUUGUCCUCUGCUUUGUCACACACAAAACUCUAAAAGUCAGCAUCCCAACGCAUCGGCCUGGAGAGCCCGUCCAGGGGAGAUGUCACAAAUUCUGCACCAGAAUCUCACAAAUCACAAAGAACUUACUCAUGUAACGAAACACCACCUGUUUCCCAGUAACUAUGGAAAUAAAAAAAAAUUAAUAAUAAAAAAUUUAAAAAAUAAAA